AUUGAACGCUGGCGGCAGGCUUAACACAUACAAGUCGAGCGGGGGAAGGUAGCUUGCUACUGGACCUAGCGGCGGACGGGUGAGUAAUGCUUAGGAAUCUGCCUAUUAGUGGGGGACAACAUCUCGAAAGGGAUGCUAAUACCGCAUACGUCCUACGGGAGAAAGCAGGGGAUCUUCGGACCUUGCGCUAAUAGAUGAGCCUAAGUCGGAUUAGCUAGUUGGUGGGGUAAAGGCCUACCAAGGCGACGAUCUGUAGCGGGUCUGAGAGGAUGAUACGCCACACUGGCACUGGGACACGGCCCAGACUCCUACGGGAGGCGGCAGUGGGGAAUAGUGGACAAUGGGGGGAACCCUGAUUCAGCCAUGCCGCGUGUGUGAAGAAGGCCUUAUGGUUGUAAAGCACUUUAAGCGAGGAGGAGGCUACUCUAGUUAAUACCUAGGGAUAGUGGACGUUACUCGCAGAAUAAGCACCGGCUAACUCUGUGCCAGCCGCCGCGGUAA
rnacentral:rRNA from 1 species